AUGGGCAGGCAGCCAUGCUGCGAGAAGGUGGGCCUGAAGAAGGGGCCGUGGACGGCGGAGGAGGACCAGAAGCUCGUCGCCUUCCUCCUCUCCCACGGCCAUUGCUGCUGGAGGCUCGUCCCCAAGCUCGCAGGUCAGCGACGCUUACACCCGUAUAUGCAUGGCGACGGUUCGGCUCGGCCACCCUGCAAACGCAUACAUUUGGUCUCAGACUCUCAAUCGCAUGCAGGGCUGCUGAGGUGCGGCAAGAGCUGCCGCCUGCGGUGGACCAACUACCUGCGCCCCGAUCUCAAGCGUGGCCUCCUCUCCGACGACGAGGAGAAGCUCGUCAUCGACCUCCACUCGCAGCUCGGCAACAGAUGGUCCAAGAUCGCGGCGCGGCUGCCGGGCAGGACGGACAACGAGAUCAAGAACCACUGGAACACCCACAUCAGGAAGAAGCUCAAGAAGAUGGGCCUCGACCCCGUCACGCACCAGCCCGUCGCCGCCUCCCGCGCCGACCCCCUCCAGGACCCGCAGCAGGACCCCCACUGCGACGGCAAAGCCUCGUCCCAAGAAUCGGCCGGCUACGGCACCGGCGCUAGCGCCGAGGAGGAGGCGCUGACGAGCGCCGAGCCGAAGCAGGGCGCCACCUGCUCUGCCUCCACCGCGUCGGCCGUGUCGCCGUCCCCCUGCUCCUCCUCGUCCGCCUCGGCCUCGGCCUCCGCCGCGACGCCCGGCGGCGCCGACGUGGACUGGCCGGACCCCCUCGACCUCUUCCAGGUCGACGCCAUCAUCGACAUGGACUGGGCCAGCAUCUUGUCCGGUAGCGGCGGCGGCGGCGACAUUGGCGUCGAUCUCUUCGACCAGUGCUCCGACGUCGGCUUCGAUCAAGAAGUGUGGAUGUGA
rnacentral:rRNA from 1 species